UAACUAGCUCCGUGGACACACACACUAACCCGUUGUGACAUGCAGACAUGCACACUGUGACGCAGUCACGCAGCAGGACGUUACGUACACAUGGGGACACACCCGUCUACAGUCCUGUAAGGAAAAUAAAAGAAUGAGACGUGUGAGCUGAGGGCUGAAGUUAUUCUCCACCAAUCUGGAACAGAGUUCCAUUACAGAGACACACUGCAGCAGACAUUACGGAUCCAUAACCAGCUUCAAGACUUCUAAAGGAUGAAGAACCUUAAACUUCUCAUCCUCUCUCUCUCCAUCUGCCUGUUGCUGGGCAACCUGGGGGUGAGUGGCUACAGUAAUGUCGAACCCUGCCAACGGUCCCGAUGCAAUAACUGCCAUGAAAAGUUCCUAUACCGGCAUGUGCGUCCAAAUACCCCGUUAACGACAGACCGCAACGAGUGGGAGAAGUAUCUACGUGGAAAAAACGACUGCUCAAGACCCACGCAGUCCUUCCUCCAUCCCAAAGACCGGGAGAGGGUGGACGCGGUCUGCUCCAGCUCUGGGGGAAAGAGGUACCAGGGGAACCUGUGCAUCAGCCAAAGCCCUUUCACGUUUCUAACAGUGAGGAGUGAGACUGGGACCUGCGGUGUGUCCAGCGUGCGGGAGGAGACCAAGCAUUUGAUCCUGGCAUGUGAGGUGCUGGAGAACAGGUGUGUGCCGGUCCACUUCGAGGGGAACCGCGAGGGGAGCAAGCCCGACAAUAACGCUGCAGGAUGUGGCAGCACGGAGAAAGGGAAGGGCUCGAGCUUCAAAGUAUCAGGAAUGUGGCUGGCAUCUUCAUUGAUACUCAUGUUUCUCUCACAACUCCUUUUCUGAACAGUUAAUGGGGGGGGGGGGGGGGGCAGAUAGUCAAACAAUACAUCAAAAGUAAGUUUGUUUUAAAGUGUCUGUCCUAAAAAGAAAAUGUUCCUGGAGUAUCCUUUAGGGGUUCUUCAAAUGUAAUGUGUGGGUGAACCGCUAUGAGUUAUUCUAAGAACCCCUUUUAAUGGAUCCUCAGAGAACCUUUUGAAGAACCUUUGGGGUACAUUUUUUGAACGACCCCUCUCCCCUAUUAUUAAUAAAGGUAAUACGCAUAACAAAAACAACAAUAACACAAUAUUUUAUUGUUCUCAGUGUUUAUUAUGAUUGUAGUGGCAAAAGCAGAAUAAUAAAAUCUAAACAUGAGGUAAACUCCCAGCAGAGCCCCACGUCCAGUGGAAGUCCAGUGGAAGUCCAGUGGAAGUAUAUCCUCUGGCGUGUUGAUGUUAUUGUGUUGAUGUUCUCCGUAUCCAUAGCCAGAAUGAGGCAUAUUUCUGUCUGUAAUAAUGCCCUUUUGUGGGGAAAACUCAUUCUGAUUGGCUGGGCCUGCCUCCCCAGUAGGAGGGCCUAUGCCCUCCCUGGCCCACCCAUGGCUGCGCCCCUGCCCAGUCAUGUGAAAUCCAUAGAUUAGGGCCUAACUGAUUUUUUUAAAUGGACUGAUUUCCUUAAUUAACUGUAACUCAGUAAAAUCUUUGAAAUGGUUGCAUGUUGCGUUUAUAUUUUUGUUCCGUAUACUUCCAUAUAUAUUACCAUUCAUUGGUGAGUAGCCCAAACUGUUCUGAAGCUACAGACAGAAGUUGGCAGAUCGGUGGUACUGACUUGCGGGGGUCGUAGAAAACUGAGAACACCAUCAUGUUGGUGAGAGUCUCAUCUUUCCAUAGAUGGGUCAUAUUAGUUUGUUGGCCAAACCGUUCGGACGCUACAGACGUUUUUGUGAGAAGAACGAUUUCCGCCAUGUCUCAUGGUCUGACAAACAGUAGCUUGGUCACCUUCCACCACAGAUGUGGAAGGACGCCAUGAGGUGAAUUGAGACGCAGCCCAUCCAAAAGGCUACAUAUCUCUAGCUUAACGCUACAAUAUGUCACUUUUUGGGCAACCCAACCAAAUUCACACAGAAAUAUGAGUUAUAGAUAUUUCAUGAAAGCAAGUCUAAGAAGCGGUAGAUCUGUUCUAUGUGUGCUAUUUUUGCGUCUUUUACUUUCAGUUUUGUACACAAGCAAUAUUUUGGGUUAUUGAAAAAAUAUUUCACAGCAGUUUAGAUGGAACUAUGAUUCUCUACACAAUGACUGCCUGUUUUGUCAUAACCUAAAAUUAGGUGAACUAUUAGAAUUUUAUCAACCAGGAAAUGGCGGAGUGAUUUCUUAAUAGUACAUCUUUAAACAGAGGGAUUUUGAUGGGGAUUUUUUUAUUAUGCUAAUUAGAUUUCAGCGGGGGGGCACAGACAUCGACUCUAGGGGGUGUAGACUGCCAUGUAUUCAGGCCUGGUCCUGGGCUAUAACACUUCACUCACAACAUUUAAAAGACUGCCAUCUAUUCAGGUCUGACCCUGGGUCUGACCCUGGGCUAUGAUAGCCUGGGUACCUUGUACUCUGUGUCAUAUGCCAAAGAUGUUUAGCGUAAAAAGAGUGGCAAGGAGGGGAAUGAUAGCUAAACAGACUGGUACCCGUACCAGACUAGGGCUAUGACGUUUCACACACAACAGCUAAUAGACUGCCGUGUUUUGUUCUCUCACGACAUCUAUCUGUUUUGUCAUAUGUAUGUUAUGGAUGGUGUUGCCUGUUCCUGUGUGCCAGUCAGGCAUCUGUCUGUGGCUGUGGGCCCCAGCCUAAUGUUGGCGUCAGCAUUUCAUUACCUUGUACUUCAUUUGAAAAAGUGUAUUGUACCAUGCUGAAUAUAUGCACUAUCAAUAAAGGCUGAUUUGGUAGAAUGUUGAAGAGCAGCAUCAUCAGCCAGCACCAUAGGACUUAAAACCACAUGACCUCAUCUGAGAGGUCACACACAAGCAGCACAUUCCGAGUUGGCAGGCAAGUGCUUUACUAUGAGCAUGUAAACAUGUAAUACACCCCCAUCAGCCUACAACAUGGAUUGGCUUUUGUAGGCCUGAAGAAAAAAAAGGAGAAAUAAAAAAGAUUUUUAGGAACUCA